rnacentral:rRNA from 1 species
GAUGAACGCUGGCGGCGUGCCUAAUACAUGCAAGUCGAGCGAACGGACGAGAAGCUUGCUUCUCUGAUGUUAGCGGCGGACGGGUGAGUAACACGUGGAUAACCUACCUAUAAGACUGGGAUAACUUCGGGAAACCGGAGCUAAUACCGGAUGAUAUUUUGAACCGCAUGGUUCAAAAGUGAAAGACGGUCUUGCUGUCACUUAUAGAUGGAUCCGCGCUGCAUUAGCUAGUUGGUAAGGUAACGGCUUACCAAGGCAACGAUGCAUAGCCGACCUGAGAGGGUGAUCGGCCACACUGGAACUGAGACACGGUCCAGACUCCUACGGGAGGCAGCAGUAGGGAAUCUUCCGCAAUGGGCGAGAGCCUGACGGAGCAACGCCGCGUGAGUGAUGAAGGUCUUCGGAUCGUAAAACUCUGUUAUUAGGGAAGAACAUAUGUGUAAGUAACUGUGCACAUCUUGACGUUACCUAAUCAGAAAGCCACGGCUAACUACGUG